CACAAAACAAGAAAAUAGAGAGUUCCCAACCCCCACUGUUUUCGGCCCAACCUUAGGAAAACCAAAUCAAAUUCUAGCUUCCCAAAAAUUAUUUCCUUGGUGUUAACCCACUAUAUUGAGGUCCCUAAGUAGCGUGGAAGAGUUGUUCGGGUCAUCCAACCGUUAGUUGUACCCAUUUGCAAACCCUAACUAUUUGGUGGAUUGAAGAAGAAAGAUCGUGGGCAGCCCGAAUCAUAGUUUGGACUUAGCUUGAGUUGGAUCAUAUUGGAGAGCGUUUGAGGUACGGACGCACAGCCUGGUGAUCCACCUGUUAAGGACACCCUUUCUGCUAUUCGGAGUGCUCCUCUCUUUCCGGAGCUUAUACUUUUGGUAUAUAUAUUUUUAUUAGUGCAUUUGUAUAUAUUCGUUCAUGGGUACGGCGGGGCCCUGUCCUGUCAUAUGAUUCUGUCGGUCUGUUUAGAGGUCUGUGGACAUGUUUGUGGGUUAGGUUCUUUCUGUAUGGAUGUAUGUACAUGUCGUUUGGGCGAUCCCAUACGCCGAGGCGGCCGGUCCGCAUAUGUUGUUUGGGCGAUCCUAUACGCCGAGGCGGCCGGUCCGCAUAUGUUUAUAUA